rnacentral:tRNA from 1 species
GUCCUCAUAGUUCAACGGAUAGAACAAGGGUUUCCUAAACCCUAAAUGAAGGUUCAAUUCCUUCUGGGGACA